rnacentral:rRNA from 1 species
UACAGAGGGUGCGAGCGUUGUUCGGAAUUACUGGGCGUAAAGGGCACGUAGGCGGUUAUAGAAGUCUAACGUUAAAGACCUGGGCUUAACCUGGGGAGUGCGAGAGAAACUAGAUGACUAGAAGCUAGGAGAGGAGAGUGGAAUUUCCGGUGUAGAGGUGGAAUUCGUAGAUAUCGGAAGGAACACCAGAGGCGAAGGCGGCUCUCUGGCCUAGACUUGACGCUGAGGUGCGAGAGCGUGGGGAG